AACAUCAUAAUUAUAUCGCGAUUGUACCACUAGUAUAUGCAACUUUUCUUAAGAUUGUAGGGAAAGGCUAACCGAACCAUACUUUUCCCAUUUUAAGUGGUACUAAAGCGUAGAUAGAAUGAACGUUGCUGGGCGCCUGAUGUUGAUUAUUUUUAAAAUGAGACAUUGGGAAUCAGCUGUAUCUACAUUU
rnacentral:snoRNA from 20 species